GCUGGGUUUAUGUACCAUGUGACCAGAAAUAUGAACACAAACCUUAGUCACAUGAUCAAGACGUAAACAUGAGCUACCUGACGCAGGCCAAAUGCUGCUACAUGAAUUGCGGUGAAGAGAGAAGAUGUUUUUAAUAUAUUACAUGUUGUGGCCCAGGGGCUUCUAGCCCUACUAGGCAGACCAUGAACCUUGGCGAGAGGCGGCCCAACAAGUGGUGGACGGAGACGGACACGUUCGCCAUGCUGACACUGAUCGAGCAGCUGGACCUGGUGCACGAGCUGGACAAGAAGCGCCAGCGCAACGACUCGCACUUCCGCCGGCUGCGCCACAGCCUGGCCAAGCGCCACAUCCACUUCACCGUCAACCAGAUCCGCAACCGCUGGAAGAGCCUCAAGCACAAGUACCGUAAGAUCAAGACGGCCAGCUACCGCAGCCCUGCCGCACGCCUCUCCGCCAUGGAGUCCUUCCGCUACUUCCGGAUGCUGGACCGCAUGCUGGCCCACAGGCCCAAGGCUGACACCCCCGAGGAGGGCUCGACAGGAGGGCAUGACAUGGUGGUGCUCACCCCCUCCGACCUGGAGGACCACACUGACAGUACUGGUGAUGUGACUCCUGCCCCCUGGCAUGACCCCCUAAUCCCAAAACUGGAAAGUGACGAUGAGGUGAAGCCAGACCCGGACGAGACCCCGAGCCUGGACGAACCGGGCUGGGCCGUGAACGGGAUGGACGAGGUGAUGACCCUGGGGCUGUCUGGGGAGUACCUGGGCUCGGUGAAGGCCGAGCCCAUCCCCUCCUCCUCCUUGCAUAAUCUGGAGGGUGCCAGGGAACCAACUAGCUGUAGCUCAGAGGAGUUUCAAGGCACUUGCGAGGACACCAGCAGCCUCAUCCUUCAGCAGCUGACCAUCCUGAACCACCAGCUGAGCGAGCAGCUGGCCGAGCAAAGGGCCUUCCACUGCAGCAUGCUGGGAAUGAUGGACCGGCAGAUCGAGGUGCUGGAGCAGCUGUCCAGCUUCACGCGCAGCCAACAGGAGGCCAAGGCAGCCAACACCACCGUCACCGCCACCGCCACCGUCUCCAACGUGACCGACGACGACUGCCUGAGCCGAAGGGUCCACGAUGUCCUUCUGCGCAUGGAGAAGAGGAACGUGGGGCAGCCCCUGUCCUUGGAGACACCACCGACGCCAUGUUUGUCCAAACCCUCCCCCUCAGCAGAGCCCCCCGCGCCUCCCUCCUGGACCGUGUCACUCCUGGAGUCCUCGACCCGGCAGGAGUCCUCGGGCCUGGCCGACACGGACUCCGAAGCCGGCCCUAAAGAGGAGGCUCUGGUCGCCAGCGCAGAUGUGGACACACCUGGCCUCGCCAAAGACUCCCAGCCAGAGAGGCAGUCCCCCUCCCCUAAGAAAGGUGCUCUGUUUAAUGGCCUUCUGGACAGCUGCCAGGACCAGUGAGAGCUUGCUGCAUCUGUGAUCCAGCAAGUCCUCCUUGUAUGGACUUACAUUGAUUGAUAUUUUUUCCUUUUCUCCAAAGUGGUCUUGUGCUGUUAAGGUACAUUGAUAAAGAAGUAUGUAGACAUAAAGGUGUGAGGCCUCGUAAGUCAUUCGUUUUUUAGAAAACUGUGUUUUUUUUACAUCUUCCAUUACUUUUUAAUAAGUUCUUGCCCUGAUGUUUUAGUCAGUGGUAGUUUACUGUCUUACGGCGCGUGAAGACUUUAUGAGGAUUUUAUUUUGAAGAGGUUUAUUAAUCUACUCCAGCUUUUUAAUGAAAGGGUAACUAGAAAUAGGUGGAUCAAGCUACUCGCAUUUCUUUAAAGUUAGCAAAUAUUUUGCAAAUUUUUAAUCAUUAGUUUACUAAGAAGAAUUUAAACCUCAUCAUGGUCUGUGUUAGAGAUAUCAUAUAGAUCUUCAGGUCACGCUACAAAACUCCUGAAGAACAAAUGUGCAAUAAUUUAUUCAUUCAUCAUCAUGUUGUUAUUAUUAUUAUUAUUAUUAUUAACAUUAUUAUUAUUAUCAGAAAGUCUGUCAUGAAUACAAUAUUAGUUAACUGGGAUUGAUAGAAAAAGUAGGCCUGAGAAAAGAAAUCUGACUGUAUUUUCUUAUAGAGCAGAAAACAGUAUUAACACUAAUGUUGUUUUGGUUCAGACCAUAUGAUUCUCUUAUUUUUCUGCCUUUGGUUUCAAUAAGAGGGGGAAUAGCUUUAUGAAGGUUUUGUUAUUUUAAAAGCUGUAUGUACUUUCCCCCAGUCAAACGGAUUCAGUAUUUUAAUGAUUUAAUGACGUUGUGUUUGAGACUAGUGUCUGUUUGUUACGGUAUCCUUCCUAAUGGUUGGAGAUAACUGGUUGCAGUGUGCUAACAGAUAUUUACUUUUCUUGCUUUCAUAUUUGCCAUGGUAAUUUAUCUAAGCUAUUAGCCUGAAGCAAUACAAAUGUAAUAUUACUCUCUGAACUAUGUGUGAAAGGUGCUAAAUUAUUUUCAAUCGAUGAAUUGUUGGUUAGAUGCUGCAGUUGAACCCUCUGGUGUAUUUUGUCGGUUUGAAAAUAUUGAAAGCUUUUUUUCUCUAUUGGUGAAUUGAAUUUAACAUCCUGUAUGUAGAUGAGGGAAAUGUGGGGACUGUAAAUCUCAUACAUGAAAAAGAGUGAAGUGCAUGUGGAACAUCAGAUGAUGAGGAUAGUCUGCAGUUAAGCAAACAACCUUAGUGCAAAAAAAAGAUGCUAGUAUUUGAUGGAAGAGGCAUGUGCUUGAUGUAAAUAUGCAGAUGAGUUUCAUCUAUACUUCCUAAAAGGUCAUUGGAUGACUCCUAUUUAUCCAAUAAUUCUUUAACAGAUUGUGUUUUGCAGGUUGUUUCUCAUAAAAGGUAA
ensembl:lncRNA